AGAGUUUGAUCCUGGCUCAGGACGAACGCUGGCGGCGUGCCUAAUACAUGCAAGUCGAACGAACUCUGGUAUUGAUUGGUGCUUGCAUCAUGAUUUACAUUUGAGUGAGUGGCGAACUGGUGAGUAACACGUGGGAAACCUGCCCAGAAGCGGGGGAUAACACCUGGAAACAGAUGCUAAUACCGCAUAACAACUUGGACCGCAUGGUCCGAGCUUGAAAGAUGGCUUCGGCUAUCACUUUUGGAUGGUCCCGCGGCGUAUUAGCUAGAUGGUGGGGUAACGGCUCACCAUGGCAAUGAUACGUAGCCGACCUGAGAGGGUAAUCGGCCACAUUGGGACUGAGACACGGCCCAAACUCCUACGGGAGGCAGCAGUAGGGAAUCUUCCACAAUGGACGAAAGUCUGAUGGAGCAACGCCGCGUGAGUGAAGAAGGGUUUCGGCUCGUAAAACUCUGUUGUUAAAGAAGAACAUAUCUGAGAGUAACUGUUCAGGUAUUGACGGUAUUUAACCAGAAAGCCACGGCUAACUACGUGCCAGCAGCCGCGGUAAUACGUAGGUGGCAAGCGUUGUCCGGAUUUAUUGGGCGUAAAGCGAGCGCAGGCGGUUUUUUAAGUCUGAUGUGAAAGCCUUCGGCUCAACCGAAGAAGUGCAUCGGAAACUGGGAAACUUGAGUGCAGAAGAGGACAGUGGAACUCCAUGUGUAGCGGUGAAAUGCGUAGAUAUAUGGAAGAACACCAGUGGCGAAGGCGGCUGUCUGGUCUGUAACUGACGCUGAGGCUCGAAAGUAUGGGUAGCAAACAGGAUUAGAUACCCUGGUAGUCCAUACCGUAAACGAUGAAUGCUAAGUGUUGGAGGGUUUCCGCCCUUCAGUGCUGCAGCUAACGCAUUAAGCAUUCCGCCUGGGGAGUACGGCCGCAAGGCUGAAACUCAAAGGAAUUGACGGGGGCCCGCACAAGCGGUGGAGCAUGUGGUUUAAUUCGAAGCUACGCGAAGAACCUUACCAGGUCUUGACAUACUAUGCAAAUCUAAGAGAUUAGACGUUCCCUUCGGGGACAUGGAUACAGGUGGUGCAUGGUUGUCGUCAGCUCGUGUCGUGAGAUGUUGGGUUAAGUCCCGCAACGAGCGCAACCCUUAUUAUCAGUUGCCAGCAUUAAGUUGGGCACUCUGGUGAGACUGCCGGUGACAAACCGGAGGAAGGUGGGGAUGACGUCAAAUCAUCAUGCCCCUUAUGACCUGGGCUACACACGUGCUACAAUGGAUGGUACAACGAGUUGCGAACUCGCGAGAGUAAGCUAAUCUCUUAAAGCCAUUCUCAGUUCGGAUUGUAGGCUGCAACUCGCCUACAUGAAGUCGGAAUCGCUAGUAAUCGCGGAUCAGCAUGCCGCGGUGAAUACGUUCCCGGGCCUUGUACACACCGCCCGUCACACCAUGAGAGUUUGUAACACCCAAAGUCGGUGGGGUAACCUUUUAGGAACCAGCCGCCUAAGGUGGGACAGAUGAUUAGGGUGAAGUCGUAACAAGGUAGCCGUAGGAGAACCUGCGGCUG
rnacentral:rRNA from 5 species